rnacentral:rRNA from 1 species
AUUCCAGCUCCAAUAGCGUAUAUUAAAGUUGUUGCGGUUAAAAAGCUCGUAGUUGGAUUUCUGCCGAGGACGACCGGUCCGCCCUCUGGGUGAGUAUCUGGCUUGGCCUGGGCAUCUUCUUGGAGAACGUUACUGCACUUGACUGUGUGGUGCGGUAUCCAGGACUUUUACUUUGAGGAAAUUAGAGUGUUUCAAGCAGGCAUACGCCUUGAAUACAUUAGCAUGGAAUAAUAAGAUAGGACCUCGGUUCUAUUUUGUUGGUUUCUAGAGCUGAGUUAAUGAUUAAUACGGACAGUUGGGGGUAUUCGUAUUCCAUUGUCAGAGGUGAAAUUCUUGGAUUUAUGGAAGACGAACUACUGCGAAAGCAUUUACCAAGGAUGUUUUCAUUA